UUCUUGAAGAAAUCUUAAUUAAUAGACUAAGACAAGCUAUAAAAUAGCAUUCUCAGGAACAAACACAAGAUGAUUUAUACAUUUCUAAAGCAUUGAUACGCCAUCAUAGUCAAGUUACAAGCUAAAACGUGAUGAAGCUUGUUAUACAUUCUUGCUACGCACAAACUUCAGGGAAGAGUUUCAUGCAAAAGUAGUGCCACAAAACAAAACAAAGUUGUCAAAAGCAUCAUGAAGUUCUUGUAACCAAUGCUACAAAAUAAAACUAAAUUUUUCACAAGUGGCUGUU
rnacentral:lncRNA from 1 species